AAUGCAUUGUUGGUGAAUGUCUGAACGGACCCCCAGGCGGUUAUUACGUUUUUGGUGAAUGUCUGAGCGGACCCCCAGGUGGUUAAUACGUUUUUGGUGAAUGUCCGAACGGACCCCCAGUUUUGGUGAAUGUCCGACUGGUUCAGUACUCUGAAUCCAACCAGGCCCGUAACGGUUAAUCAGCUACACCCCUUUAACGCGACAUGCACCUCUUGUGUUAUUUUGUGCUUGAGGUCCUCGAGGAGAGACUGAAGAGGUGAAAAAAGCUAAUAAAACCCUAGCUGGCAUAAUUGCGGAUUCAAAGCCUGAAAAUACGAUGCUACUGUCUGGCAAAUGGAGACCAGGAGAACCCAAGUAUUACUACGUGUUAAGCCACUCGCCUCGCUCCUCAGGGCGUGCUUUGUGAUCACUGGGAGAGCUUUGCAGUUGGCAAAAGGGUGGGGGGGAGCCCAGCAAGUGCUGGUGUGUGCUUCAGCCAUGUAAUCAUAUCCCCAGACAGCCUGCCAGCCUGAAAACCGAAAGAAUUCGUGUUAAGUGACAGCAGUGAUGGAGUGGCUGAGGAGAGACGUCCUCUUUAACUCCUAAACUGUGGAUUCGUCUGGGCUGAGCCAGUGGGGUUGGCAGUUAACUCACGUCUUCGAGAGCUCAGUGCCCAGGACUGCUCCACGUUCGAUGUCGAAUCGCUGCCUGCGUUUGUGGAUCUGGAGGUCUGGGGUUCCCCAAGGAGAAUCCUACUCACUGAAAGGCAAGAAGGUAAGUGUUAGCCUUUUUUUUUUUUUUUUUUCCUUGCUGCAGCAUGCUCAUGGUGAGGACAAAGCCCAGCCUUUGUUUAUGCUGGGAAAAGUGCAGAUAGGACUUGUUUACUCGAUGUGGGUAUCCCUACUUGGCAGCUAGGCAAAGUCCCCAAAAAGCAAGCAGAGGGGAGCGAGGUGGUGUCGUGAAAUAGAAGCAGGAUGGCCACGCUGUGCAUCAGGCCGAAUGCUUCACAUAGCUGUGCUGUCAGCAAACAGCGAGCCAGAGGGCAGGCAACCAGCCUUCUUUCUGAGCUCUUAUUUGCCUUCCCAUUUGUUAUCUUGGACAUAAAGAGGUCUGUAAGCCAGGGAUUUGGGCAGUUAACCUCAAAUAAACCCUAAAAGACCUACUUCA
rnacentral:lncRNA from 1 species